CGCCGCAGAAAGAAAGAGAAAGAAGGAAAGAAGGAGGAAGAGGAGAGGAAGAAGGAGCAGGGGCCUCUUGCCCUGGCCCAGGGGAUGAUCCAUGGCCCCAUCAUCCAUUGUAUUCAGAAGAAGUGGAUUUAGCGAUGCCAGGGUCAGCACUAGACUCCUAUAACACUUUAACGGCCGAUGGCUGUAUCCUGUGGCAUCCUGGGACUUGUAGUUCGCUCAGACGCUUAGGAUACUCUGCUAGAGAGCUCCAUCAAUGCAGUUGAACUACCAGACUCAUCUGGCCUGACGAAGAGCUCUGGAGAACUUGAAGGUUUGCACAUUUGGUGGAUUUAUCAUUGAUCCUAAUAAAUGUAUGGCACAUCUCUGGA